rnacentral:rRNA from 1 species
UACGGGGGGGGCAAGCGUUGUUCGGAAUUACUGGGCGUAAAGGGUCCGUAGGUGGCUUGCUAAGUCAGACGUGAAAUCCCUCGGCUUAACCGGGGAACUGCGUCUGAGACUGGCGAGCUUGAGUGCAGGAGAGGAACGCGGAAUUCCAGGUGUAGCGGUGAAAUGCGUAGAUAUCUGGAGGAACACCGGUGGCGAAGGCGGCGUUCUGGACUGCAACUGACGCUGAGGAGCGAAAGCCAGGGGAGCAAACGGG